rnacentral:rRNA from 1 species
UACGUAGGUGACAAGCGUUGUCCGGAUUUACUGGGCGUAAAGAGCGCGCAGGCGGUCGUUCAAGUCGAGUGUGAAAGCCCCCGGCUCAACUGGGGAGGGUCAUUCGAUACUGAUCGACUCGAAGGCGGGAGAGGGUAGUGGAAUUCCCGGUGUAGUGGUGAAAUGCGUAGAUAUCGGAAGGAACAUCAGUGGCGAAAGCGACUUCCUGGACCAAUACUGACGCUCAUGUGCGAAAGCGUGGGGAGCAAACAGG